GUACAUUAUAGAAAUGUUCCAACAACCAACUCUACUACUUAUGAUUCUUAGCCAUCUCCACCUCCCCCAGCUCUAAUGCCUGCUACUUAUACAGAAACGUCAAGCGAAAUAAGAACUCGUCAUCACAAGUUAAAGCAAGCAUGGUUACAAAGGCAUGUAUGGGCAGAAGACAUGAAAGCAGCAGGUGUUAAUAUCGACCAAUAUUCGUUUCAUCUUCUCUCUCAAAUGGACGAUACUCCUCCAGUCUUACAGUGUGAAAUUACCAAAAAAAGAAAAAUUUCUAAAAGCUUAGAAGAUGAUAAUACUGAGGUAACUUUCCAAUGUACGAGUAGUACACUGUAUGAAAUGUCGACAUCAUCGGAUACCAACCACAAGUCCAGGAAAAGAAAGACUAGAAGCAUAACAGACAAUGCUGGACAUUCGGAAACAGAGAAGAGAGUUCGUCCUAUAAAGAGUGUCAUAAAGAGAAGAAGAAAACCACAAGUUAUUGUUAGUAUACCUUUGAAAAAAAUAAAAAUAUAAUGACGAUGAAUUGCGGUUUUUCAAUAUACAUAAAAAUCAAUAUAAUAUUACUACAAAUAAAUCCUUAUUUUAAAGUAUAAAUUAUAAUUAUUUUCUAACUAUGUUUUAUCAUAUAAUAAUAUAACGUUGAAAUUAUUAUGAAAACAAAAUAACCUUUAUUACACAUAUGAAUCAUAUAAAAAAAUAAGAGGAAAUGUAAAAAAGGACGCUUACAAAGAAAUGAAAAUAGCCAAACAGCCGCAGUACGCGCAAGGUUCUGCUGGGGGUAGCAAAAGCAGGAGCGGAGGUGUGCCCUCCGAAAACGGUUCAAAUAAGGAGUACGGGCAGGUGGAAAUGGAAAGGAUGGUAAACCGUCACCAGAGAGGCAAUCGUGAACGUACCGAAGAGCAACAAGCUGAGGAAGCUUUCCAUCAGCAUUUCGAAGAGAGUCUGAAACUUGCUCAGCAACAUAGGCUACAAGUACAUUAUAGAAAUUUUCCAACAACCAACUCUACUACUUAUGAUUCUUCGCCAUCUCCACCUCCCCCAGUUCUAAUGCCUGCUACUUAUACAGAAACGUCAAGCGGAACAAGAACUCGUCAUCACAAGUUGAAGAAAGCAUGGUUAGAACGGCACGUAUGGGCAGAAUACUUGAAAGCAGCAGGUGUUCAUAUCGACCAAAAUUCGACUCAUUAUUUCUCUCAAAUGGACGAUACUCCUCCAGUAUUACAGUGUGAAAUUACCAAAAAAAGAAAUGCUGGACAUUCGGAAACAGAGAAGAGAGUUCGUCCUAUAAAGAGUGUCAUAAAGAGAAGAAGAAAACCACAAGUUAUUGUUAGUAUACCUUUGAAAAAAAUAAAAAUAUAAUGACGAUGAAUUGCGGUUUUUCAAUAUAUAUAAAAAUCAAUAUAAUAUUACUACAAAUAAAUCCUUAUUUUAAAGUAUAAAUGAUAAUUAUUUUCUAACUAUGUUUUAUCAUAUAAUAAUAUAACGUUGAAAUUAUUAUGAAAACAAAAUAACCUUUAUUACACAUAUGAAUCAUAUAAAAAAAUAAGAGGAAAUGUAAAAAAGGACGCUUACAAAGAAAUGAAAAUAGCCAAACAGCCGCAGUACGCGCAAGGUUCUGCUGGGGGUAGCAAAAGCAGAAGCGGAGGUGUGCCCUCCGAAAACGGUUCAAAUAAGGAGUACGGGCAGGUGGAAAUCGAAAGGAUGGUAAACCGUCACCAGAGAGGCAAUCGUGAACGUACCGAAGAGCAACAAGCUGAGGAAGCUUUCCAUCAGCAUUUCGAGGAGAGUCUGAAACUUGCUCAGCAACAUAGGCUACAAGUACAUUAUAGAAAUUUUCCAACAACCAACUCUACUACUUAUGAUUCUUCACCAUCUCCACCUCCCCCAGUUCUAAUGCCUGCUACUUAUACUGAAACGUCAAUCGGAAUAAGAACUCGUCAUCACAAGUUAAAGAAAGUAUGGUUACAACGGCAUGUAUGGGCAGAAGACAUGAAAGCAGCAGGUGUUAAUAUCGACCAAUAUUCGUUUCAUCUUUUCUCUCAAAUGUACGAUACUCCACCAGUCUUACAGUGUGAAAUUACCAAAAAAAGAAAUGCUGGACAUUCGGAAACAGAGAAGAGAGUUCGUCCUAUUAAGAGUGUCAUAAAGAGAAGAAGAAAACCACACGUUAUUGUUAG